rnacentral:rRNA from 1 species
ACGGAAGGCAGCAGUGAGGAAUAUUGGUCAAUGGGCGAGAGCCUGAACCAGCCAAGUCGCGUGAAGGAUGAAGGUUCUAUGGAUUGUAAACUUCUUUUGUUCGAGGGUAAAGUGAGGGAUGCGUCCCUUAUUGCAAGUAUCGAACGAAUAAGCAUCGGCUAACUCCGUGCCAGCAGCCGCGGUAAUACGGAGGAUGCGAGCGUUAUCCGGAUUUAUUGGGUUUAAAGGGUGCGUAGGCGGGAUGUUAAGUCAGCGGUGAAAGCGUGUAGCUCAACUAUACCAAGCCGUUGAAACUGGCGUUCUUGAGUGUAAACGAGGUAGGCGGAAUGUGACGUGUAGCGGUGAGAUGCUUAGAUAUGUCACAGAACCCCGAUUGCGAAGGCAGCUUACCAGCAUACAACUGACGCUGAGGCACGAAAGUGCGGGGAUCAAACAGGAUUAGAUACCCUGGUA